ensembl:lncRNA
CCGGACCUCUGGCAGUCUCUAUGGGGGUGCCACAGGGUUCAAUUCUUGGACCGACUCUCUUCUCUGUAUACAUCAAUGAGGUCGCUCUUGCUGCUGGUGAGUCCCUGAUCCACCUCUACGCAGACGACACCAUUCUGUAUACUUCCGGCCCUUCUUUGGACAGUGUGUUAACAACCCUCCAGGCAAGCUUCAAUGCCAUACAACUCUCCUUCCGUGGCCUCCAAUUGCACUUAAAUACAAGUAAAACUAAAUGCAUGCUCUUCAACCGAUCGCUACCUGCACCUACCCGCCUGUCCAACAUCACUACUCUGGACGGCUCUGACUUAGAAUACAUGGACAACUACAAAUACUUAGGUGUCUGGUUAGACUGUAAACUCUCCUUCCAGACCCAUAUCAAACAUCUCCAAUCCAAAGUUAAAUCUAGAAUUGGCUUCCUAUUUCGCAACAAAGCAUCCUUCACUCAUGCUGCCAAACAUACCCUUGUAAAACUGACCAUCCUACCAAUCCUCGACUUUGGCGAUGUCAUUUACAAAAUAGCCUCCAAUACCCUACUCAACAAAUUGGAUGCAGUCUAUCACAGUGCAAUCCGUUUUAUCACCAAAGCCCCAUAUACUACCCACCAUUGCGACCUGUACGCUCUCGUUGGCUGGCCCUCGCUUCAUACUCGUCGCCAAACCCACUGGCUCCAUGUCAUCUACAAGACCCUGCUAGGUAAAGUCCCCCCUUAUCUCAGCUCGCUGGUCACCAUAGCAUCUCCCACCUGUAGCACACGCUCCAGCAGGUAUAUCUCUCUAGUCACCCCCAAAACCAAUUCUUUCUUUGGCUGCCUCUCCUUCCAGUUCUCUGCUGCCAAUGACUGGAACGAACUGGAACGAACUACAAAAAUCUCUGAAACUGGAAACACUUAUCUCCCUCACUAGCUUUAAGCACCAACUGUCAGAGCAGCUCACAGAUUACUGCACCUGUACAUAGCCCACCUAUAAUUUAGCCCAAACAACUACCUCUUCCCCAACUGUAUUUCAUUUUUAUUUAUUUAUUUAUUUUGCUCCUUUGCAUCCCAUUAUUUUUAUUUCUACUUUGCACAUUCUUCCAUUGCAAAACUACCAUUCCAGUGUUUUACUUGCUAUUUUGUAUUUACUUUGCCACCAUGGCCUUUUUUGCCUUUACCUCCCUUCUCACCUCAUUUGCUCACAUUGUAUAUAGACUUGCUUAUACUGUAUUAUUGAC